CGCGUAUCAGAAUGACGCGGUGAAUACGUUCCCGGGCCUUGUACACACCGCCCGUCACACCAUGGGAGUGGGUUGCUCCAGAAGUAGAUAGUCUAACCCUCGGGAGGACGUUUACCACGGAGUGAUUCAUGACUGGGGUGAAGUCGUAACAAGGUAGCCCUAGGGGAACCUGGGGCUGGAUCACCUCCUUA
rnacentral:ncRNA from 1 species